rnacentral:rRNA from 1 species
AUUGAACGCUGGCGGCAGGCCUAACACAUGCAAGUCGAGCGGCAGCGGGAAAGUAGCUUGCUACUUUUGCCGGCGAGCGGCGGACGGGUGAGUAAUGCCUGGGAAAUUGCCCAGUCGAGGGGGAUAACAGUUGGAAACGACUGCUAAUACCGCAUACGCCCUACGGGGGAAAGCAGGGGACCUUCGGGCCUUGCGCGAUUGGAUAUGCCCAGGUGGGAUUAGCUAGUUGGUGAGGUAAUGGCUCACCAAGGCGACGGUUCCUAGCUGGUCGGAGAGGAUGAUCAGCAACACUGGAACUGAGACACGGUCCAGACUCCUACGGGAGGCAGCAGUGGGGAAUAUUGCACAAUGGGGGAAACCCUGAUGCAGCCAUGCCGCGUGUGUGAAGAAGGCCUUCGGGUUGUAAAGCACUUUCAGCGAGGAGGAAAGGUUGAUGCCUAAUACGUAUCAACUGUGACGUUACUCGCAGAAGAAGCACCGGCUAACUCCGUGCCAGCCGCCGCGGUAACAC